rnacentral:lncRNA from 1 species
AAUUUUAAUCUUUCAGUUUCGACCAUAGUUGGUCACCGAAAGCUCUAACAAACUGUAAUCUCUAGCAGAUAGCAGUCGAAUUUUAUUUUCCACAUUCCGAGUGUCGGAUUGACAUGAAACUUUAAAUCUAGCCUCAUAAAAAUAAUUCCGACAUAUUCUCCAGUUUUCAUAAUUUUCUGACACUGUACAUUUUCUGCUAAAAUAUCAGUCCCGUUUCUCACAGAAAAUUCUAAAUCUUCUAUUUUCGUUCUGAUUUCAGCACGAGUCAUUUUCGACUUAUAUUUUACUUCUCUAAAUCCAAUAAAAAUAGUAUCUCACACUAUUUUUAUUUAUUUUUUACUUUUAUAUCAAAAUCUAAUAUGUUACAAGCCCAAAGUGUACGGGUACACUUCCUCGUGUCACCGGUAACACGACUGUGCAGAGACAAAACCCGAGAGAUGCUUCUCGGUUUCCUAGCAUUUGUACCGGUACACUUUCAAUGCUGUACCAGUUACAACUCGAUGAUUGUACCGGUACACUUUGUCCAGACUUGGUUUUUGACUCCGUUUCGAUUCUAUUUUGCAUCGAACAACGCUAAAACCUUUCCAACUUCUUCUAAACCCACUUUUAACCCUUCCAACCUUGUUGAAAUUUUAAAUAGAACUCGUACAACCAUUUCAUUCGCACGCUUUAGUCA